rnacentral:rRNA from 1 species
AACGAACGCUGGCGGCAUGCCUAACACAUGCAAGUCGAACGAGACCUUCGGGUCUAGUGGCGCACGGGUGCGUAACGCGUGGGAAUCUGCCCUCAGGUACGGAAUAACUCAGGGAAACUUGAGCUAAUACCGUAUAAUGACUUCGGUCCAAAGAUUUAUCGCCUGGGGAUGAGCCCGCGUCGGAUUAGCUAGUUGGUGAGGUAAAGGCUCACCAAGGCGACGAUCCGUAGCUGGUCUGAGAGGAUGAUCAGCCACACUGGGACUGAGACACGGCCCAGACUCCUACGGGAGGCAGCAGUGGGGAAUAUUGGACAAUGGGCGCAAGCCUGAUCCAGCAAUGCCGCGUGAGUGAUGAAGGCCUUAGGGUUGUAAAGCUCUUUUACCCGGGAAGAUAAUGACUGUACCGGGAGAAUAAGCCCCGGCUAACUCCGUGCCAGCAGCCGCGGUAAUACGGAGGGGCUAGCGUUGUUCGGAAUUACUGGGCGUAAAGCGCACGUA